rnacentral:rRNA from 1 species
UUUUGUGGGGUGUUCGAGUGGCGAACGGGUGAGUAACACGUGAGUAACCUGCCCUUGACUUUGGGAUAACUUCAGGAAACUGGGGCUAAUACCGGAUAGGAGCUCCUGCUGCAUGGUGGGGGUUGGAAAGUUUCGGCGGUUGGGGAUGGACUCGCGGCUUAUCAGCUUGUUGGUGGGGUAGUGGCUUACCAAGGCUUUGACGGGUAGCCGGCCUGAGAGGGUGACCGGCCACAUUGGGACUGAGAUACGGCCCAG